rnacentral:rRNA from 1 species
UACGGGGGGAGCAAGCGUUGUUCGGAUUUACUGGGCGUAAAGGGCGUGUAGGCGGUCAGCACAAGUCAGUUGUGAAAUCUCCGGGCUUAACUCGGAAAGGUCAACUGAUACUGUGCGACUAGAGUGCAGAAGGGGCAACUGGAAUUCUCGGUGUAGCGGUGAAAUGCGUAGAUAUCGAGAGGAACACCUGCGGCGAAGGCGGGUUGCUGGGCUGACACUGACGCUGAGGCGCGAAAGCCAGGGGAGCGAACGGG